CAAACCAAAGCUGGCGACCGGCGCACGGGUGAGUAACACGUAUCCAACCUGCCUCAUACUCGGGGAUAGCCUUUCGAAAGAAAGAUUAAUAUCCGAUAGCAUACAUUUCCCGCAUGGGUUUUAUAUUAAAGAAAUUCGGUAUGAGAUGGGGAUGCGUUCCAUUAGUUUGUUGGGGGGUAACGGCCCACCAAGACUACGAUGGAUAGGGGUUCUGAGAGGAAGGUCCCCCACAUUGGAACUGAGACACGGUCCAA
rnacentral:rRNA from 1 species